UACCAGCACCCCGAGUGGUCGGGACGAUUAUUGGGCCUAAAGCAUCCGUAGCCGGUCAUGCAAGUCUUCCGUUAAAUCCAGCCGCUCAACGGUUGGGCUGCGGAGGAUACUACGUGGCUAGGAGGCGGGAGAGGCAAGCGGUACUCAGUGGGUAGGGGUAAAAUCCUUUGAUCCAUUGAGGACCACCAGUGGCGAAGGCGGCUUGCCAGAACGCGGCUAGCGGACGG
rnacentral:rRNA from 1 species